UACGUAGGUGGCAAGCGUUGUCCGGAUUUACUGGGCGUAAAGAGCGCGCAGGCGGUCGUUCAAGUCGCGUGUGAAAGCCCCCGGCUCAACUGGGGAGGGUCACGCGAUACUGAUCGACUCGAAGGCAGGAGAGGGUAGUGGAAUUCCCGGUGUAGUGGUGAAAAUGCGUAGAUAUCGGGAGGAACACCAGUGGCGAAGGCGACUACCUGGCCUGUUCUUGACGCUGAGGCGCGAAAAGCUAGGGGAGCAAACGGG
rnacentral:rRNA from 1 species